UUAAGUCGACCGCCUGGGGAGUACGGCCGCAAGGUUAAAACUCAAAUGAAUUGACGGGGGCCCGCACAAGCGGUGGAGCAUGUGGUUUAAUUCGAUGCAACGCGAAGAACCUUACCUGGUCUUGACAUCCACGGAAGUUUUCAGAGAUGAGAAUGUGCCUUCGGGAACCGUGAGACAGGUGCUGCAUGGCUGUCGUCAGCUCGUGUUGUGAAAUGUUGGGUUAAGUCCCGCAACGAGCGCAACCCUUAUCCUUUGUUGCCAGCGGUCCGGCCGGGAACUCAAAGGAGACUGCCAGUGAUAAACUGGAGGAAGGUGGGGAUGACGUCAAGUCAUCAUGGCCCUUACGACCAGGGCUACACACGUGCUACAAUGGCGCAUACAAAGAGAAGCGACCUCGCGAGAGCAAGCGGACCUCAUAAAGUGCGUCGUAGUCCGGAU
rnacentral:rRNA from 1 species